UUGGAGAAGAAGAAUAGUGGAUAUCCUCCCCAUGGCGCUUCUCAUGAACAACCCAAGGGUUUUGUGCUUGACAGCUGUUCUUGUGCUAUCCGCCACAUUCUUAUCAUGUGAUGCAUCUUAUGGGAUCAAAGAUGGAGAAGGUUUUAACAAGUUUUGUGUGGGAUGGGACCAAGGCUGCAAGGACCCGGUGAAGGGGAUCCCUAGUCAGUGUCAGAUUUACUGCAGAGAUAACGGUUUUGUCUUACAGAAAGGCAAAUGUGCACCGGACAAUGGAAAGCCCAACCGCAUGUGUUGUUGCUAUAAGUAGAGACUUGUGUGUGAAUCCAUGAAGAUUUUUUU